UAAGGCUGUUUUGGUCUUUUCACCUCCUGAUCCUUAUCUACCUGAUCCAGCUCGAGCUCUGGAGCACCUUGGAAGGUAGUAGAGCUCAGAGAAGGGUUUCUUCACCUUCCUCACACUCUCUCUCUCUAGGGAUUUUCUCUCUCUACAAAGAAGUCACCGUUUUGCACCGUCGUCAUCGCCGAGCUCGCUCUUCGCUAUUUGGGAGUGUCACUGAGCCUUGGUGGACGUGUGGGGGAGUGUUUUGGAGAGCUUUUCGCAGCCCUGGACCAGUAACUCACUGGUUGCAAGCUUGAGAAGGUUUCCGAACCACGUGGAGCUUAUUUGGUGACCUGGGAGGCUGGUUUAGAAGGUGUUCUACCUCGAGCAGGAGUGUGAUCGACUCUUGGAGUGAUUUUGGCUGACCUGUGGAAGCUCUGGAAGACUCGACUUGAGCAGAUCCAGGGACCGUUUGAGCUGAGUUCGAAGCAUCUCUUGGGCUGUUUUGAGCUUAGUGAUAG